AAUUAGAAAAAGUAGUUGACAAAGU
rnacentral:rRNA from 1 species